rnacentral:rRNA from 1 species
AGUUGAUCCCAAAGUCGAACGCGUUCUGUCGUGGAGAAGGGUUUCAUGUGAACAGCAGUAAGACACAUUUCAAUCCAGCUCUCAGCUUUGAAGAAAUCAGAGUGUUUCAAGCAUGCACUUGUGAUCAGCGUUUUAGCCUGACACAA